UUAUUUUGGGAAAGAAAAAAUAAAUGUUUAGAUUCAACCUCUCUCUCUUCUCUAGCUCGAAGGCCCAGCGAAUCUCUCUCUCUCUCUCUCUCUCUCUCUCUCUCUCAUACACACAAACGCCGGACCUUCAAGAAACAGCCCAUUUCUUGAUCAUGAACAAGAAACCACAAAGAACGAAGAGCACUACAGCGUCAAGAAAGGGCUCCAUCAAUCCACAGAGCCCGAUCCUCUUGCUCUGCAGAUGCUCCCUCACAACCUCCGUUUUCAGAUCUCCGAUCUCUCUCCUCAGCGCCUUCUCCUUCUCCUGAAUCACAAAACCAUCAACUCCGGUCAUCAAUUACAGAAACAUAUCAGAAAUCGAAGAAAGUAAAUUGAGCGAGUUACCGUACCGUGGCAGCGUCGCGGUGGUCGAACGAAUGGCGGAUGACAGUUUGAGCCGAGAGAGAAGAAAAGCGACUUUGAUCUAGUGAAUUGCGGUUCUCGAUUGCAAAGCUUCGACGGGACUAAGGUUAGGGUUUCAGCCUCAAUUUCUCUCUCUCUCUGUCUCUCCUUCUUCUUCUUCACGAGCAACACCGGGAUUCCAAGUUCUCCGACUGGAAUCUCCACCGUACCAGCAAGUCCACAAGCUCCUCGAAUCAGCGCUGUUUCGAAACCUCAAUUUGGGAGGGCUAGUUUCUAGUGACGGAAGAAAUGGAAGACCCAAUUCCUUCUUCAUCAGCCCCUCUUGACCUCACCACCUUUCACAGACGAGUGCUUGGCCUAGAAGAGAUUCUCGAGCGAUGCGGCUGGGACGAUGAUUUCGAAUCACCUAUUGCAGAUUCGCAUGAUUUACUUAACGACAGAGCUGUAUUUCUUCGGAGUAGAGUUGAAAAGGUAGUAUCUGAUUGCUCUGACGUUGGUCUGUUAGGGGAUCAAGAUUUUGAAGCAUAUAUGGGACGUUUUGAGCAGGAGCUUAGCUCCAUGGAGGCCGAGAAUGCUAAGGUUUCCGAUGAAAUUUGAGGUCUAGUUCGAACCCAUGAGGAAGGUGAAGAUUUUAAUCGGCUCAAUGUUGAUAUUGGGCAGUUGAAAUGUUCAUUGGAUUCUGUUGGAUUGCAGAAGUAGAAGAUUGUGUGUUCUUUUUUGAAAGAUGGCAAACGAAAAGGGCUGCCCCUAUGGUGUGGAAACUUCAAUUUGAGGUAUAAUGGGCUGAACUUUUACAUCACAAUUUUGUUCUCAUGUAUCUACGUUUAGAUUCGAAUUGGCUGCAUUGGUAUGGAGUUUGGAAUUGAGGUAAGGGAUUUAGGGGAAGCUGAGAAAGUUGAGGUUUUAUUGCUAAUUUUGGUAUGAGUUUUGAUUAUGUUCUAUUUUUUAUCUAUCAUGAACUAAUCAUACUAUUAUAGGUGUAUUAUAUUCUUUUCCGAUGAUCUAUUGGCUCGCUUUGAGGAGGAAAAGCUGAUUUAACUUCUAAGUUUUAUUUAGAACCACUUUGCUGUCAUUCUCUGCGAUUUGGCAUUCACUAAGCUUUGUAAAAUUAAAAGCUAGACUUUUGGUUGAUGGAUUUAUAUUAAUUAAACUUUGAAGUGGAGAACUGUAGCAUCAAAAGUUCUCUUAGCUGCACCCUGAGCAUGAAGCAUGAGGUACAUUUAACUAAACAGUUAUGUAGAUUGGCAUUGCAAUGAAAAUGUAAAAGUAAAAAGUGUUUGAUUACACACAGACAUCCUAUGCCAAAAUGAAUGCUUUUAUGCCUCAAGGUUUUGCUUUUUACAAUCUUACUUUCAUUUCAUUUUUUGUUUUCAAUUUGUGUAACCAUAAAUUUAUCUAAAACAAUGCCUUUUGGUUAUUGAUUUGGAAAAUGAAAAAUGGAAUAACCCUUCACCAAGAAUGUUGGAUGCAACUAACAGUUGUAAACUGAUUUUCAUAGUCUUGCUUUUGGUUAGAUUUCUGCUCAGUCUGGCCUAUUAUAGUUUGCACAGUCAUCCACUAUUGUUGUGCAGGGACAUAUGUGUGAAGUGAUGGAAAAAAUCAUGGAAGUCUAGGUUGCUAAAGCUAUUGUUAGCAUGAUUGGUUAGUUUGGUAUUGAGUUAUACUCUGCAUAUCUUGUUGCUGAGAAGGAAGAAGGAACUGUAUAGAGGAAGUUGAUGGAGAGAAGGAAAUGGACAAGUACAAUAUGUUUCUAGCCUUGAUGUUUUUGGCCUUCAUGUUUAGGUAGGAUUAGUAUGCUGAUGUUGGGAUGAUGAUGUAAUCAACUGGUUUUGAAUGUUCAAUCAAUGGAUGUGUUUUUGAAUGUGUUA